GAUGAACGCUAGCUACAGGCUUAACACAUGCAAGUCGAGGGGAAACGAUAUUGGAAGCUUGCUUCCGAUAGGCGUCGACCGGCGCACGGGUGAGUAACGCGUAUCCAACCUGCCCACCACUUGGGGAUAACCUUGCGAAAGUAAGACUAAUACCCAAUGACGUCUCUAGAAGACAUCUGAAAGAGAUUAAAGAUUUAUCGGUGAUGGAUGGGGAUGCGUCUGAUUAGCUUGUUGGCAGGGUAACGGCCCACCAAGGCUACGAUCAGUAGGGGUUCUGAGAGGAAGGUCCCCCACAUUGGAACUGAGACACGGUCCAAACUCCUGCGGGAGGCAGCAGUGAGGAAUAUUGGUCAAUGGGCGAGAGCCUGAACCAGCCAAGUAGCGUGCAGGAUGACGGCCCUAUGGGUUGUAAACUGCUUUUAUAAGGGAAUAAAGUGAGUCUCGUGAGACUUUUUGCAUGUACCUUAUGAAUAAGGACCGGCUAAUUCCGUGCCAGCCGCCGCAGUAA
rnacentral:rRNA from 1 species